GGGGAUGUAGCUCAGUGGUAGAGCGCUUGCUUCGCAUGUAAGAAGUCCAGGGUUCAAUCCCCUGCAUCUCCA